rnacentral:sRNA from 1 species
GCCAGGCAUAGUGGCUCACACCUGUAAUCCCAGCGGCUCAGGAGGCUGAGACAGGAGAAUUGCGAGUUUAAAGACAGCCUUAGCAACUUAGUGAGGCCCUAAGCAAUUCAGUGAGACCCUGUCUCUA